rnacentral:rRNA from 1 species
CCUACUUUGUACCGCCGUUCUUACUAUUUUUCCCUUCACUAUCGUCUGCCCCCGCCCCGUCGCGUGAAGGAUGACUGCCCUAUGGGUUGUAAACUUCUUUUAUAGGGGAAUACAAUGUUCCACGUGUGGGAUUUUGUAUGUACCAUAUGAAUAAGGAGCGGCGAACCCCGUGCCAGCAGGCGCGGUAAUACGGAGGUUCCGAGCGUUUUCCGGAUUUAUGUGGUUUAAAGGGAGCGUAGGUGGAUUGUUAAGUCAGUUGUGAAAGUUUUCGGCUCAACCGUAAGAUUGCAGUUGAGACUGGCAGUCUUGAGUACAGUAGAGGUGGGCGGAAUUCGUGGUGUAGCGGUGAAAUGCUUAGAUAUCACGAAGAACUCCGAUUGCGAAGGCAGCUCACUGGACUGCAACUGACACUGAGGCUCGAAAGUGUGGGUAUCAAACAGGAUUAGAUACCCUUGUAGUC